GUGAGUGGAUAUUCUGCCCAGAGGAUCAUCACCCACCGUCUCUGUACUUUGCCAGUAGUAAGCUAAAUGUGUGGGCUAAUACUGCAGACACCGUCCAGGAGGCCCUGGGCAGGACCAGCAGACUACUGGGGCAGUACUUUGAGGAGCAACACAGGGACCUGGUGGCACAGGUCACAGGCCAGGUUGUGUUUGAUGCACUGGGCCAGGCAGACAUCCAAGGCAUCAGUGUGGUCACAGAGGCUCUGGUUGAGGGACUGGUCUCAUUAGGCCAGCAGAAAAAUGUGAAGCCUCUGCAGUACCUUGGACAGUAUCUUCUUGGGCUAUCUGGAUAUGAAGUCCUGCUUCCAGAACAACAACAAGCAGCUGAUGGGAAUUUUGCACACAAGGCUGGUGCUGGGGGCCUGACAGCUAAACUGCAGGCAGAGGAGGAGGAAAGUGAAGAAGAGGAGGAAGAAGAAGAGGAGGAGGAAACUGAAGCAGCCAAACAAAAGGCAUUUCUUUUGGGAGCAGGAGAUCAUGGUGAAGUGGAGGAGCAUACUGUGGAUGCCAAAAAAGAAAAGAAGAAAAAUAAGAACGAGGAUAAAAAGAAAAAGGAUAAAAAGAAAGACAA